rnacentral:rRNA from 2 species
AGACCCGAAACCCGGUGAUCUAGCCAUGGGCAGGUUGAAGGUUGGGUAACACUAACUGGAGGACCGAACCGACUAAUGUUGAAAAAUUAGCGGAUGACCUGUGGCUGGGGGUGAAAGGCCAAUCAAACCGGGAGAUAGCUGGUUCUCCCCGAAAGCUAUUUAGGUAGCGCCUCGUGAAUUCAUCUCCGGGGGUAGAGCACUGUUUCGGCUAGGGGGCCAUCCCGGCUUACCAACCCGAUGCAAACUGCGAAUACCGGAGAAUGUUAUCACGGGAGACACACGGCGGGUGCUAACGUCCGUCGUGAAGAGGGAAACAACCCAGACCGCCAGCUAAGGUCCCAAAGUCAUGGUUAAGUGGGAAACGAUGUGGGAAGGCCCAGACAGCCAGGAUGUUGGC